AGACAUCUGACAUCACAGCACAUUGACAGACUACAGCCUUGAACGGCCUCCCCUCGUGUGUCUGUGACAGUCAUGAGAAGCUGUUCAGGAACUGUCUGAAUCCAGACUAUAAAAGUGGAACUGUGGUGAUGCUGCUCAGAGCUGCUGUGUGUGUUGGUCUAACGAGAGGAACUCCUGCUAGACUACAUGGAAAACACCCAAGUUGAGCAGGAUUCAUCGCUUUCGAGACUACAAAGACAUACUAAAGACACACAAUUCUACAGAGACAUCAGAGGUUAGGCCAGGAGGAGGUUGUGACGGCAGGCUUUUCUUCGUUGAGUGCGGUUUGGAUGUGGUUGGGAGUCACGUCGUAGGAACUUCUUCGUUCUGCUGAACCCUUAGUUCCUGUGUUGUAAAAUUUCUGGACCUGUCAUUCCUUCCAUGUUUGCACUCCCACAGUUAAAUCAACAUUGACAAUAUUUCUGUGCAUGAAGCACAACUGUGGUUCCCUCAAGCUGAACUGGCCCCUCUCUUCCUUUGUUUGGCUUUUUAGCUUUUAAUUUUGAUCUCUUUACACUUUGGUCCCUGUUCCCCAUCACUCUGUCAACCGCCUUCCACCCAGAAACAUGCAGCUCUGGAUUACCCAGCCGUGGCAUUGACCUCUCAUCUUUAUAUUGACCCUCUAUUUCCCAUGACCUCUGACCUCACGGGGGCAAAGCCUGCAGCCGUCUGGACCUCCUCCUCCUCCUCCUCCUCCACCUGGCCCCUAUCGCCACCCUUCAGAUGGUCCAGAUGGAUUACUCUCUGCUCUCCGGACGUCUACGGGAUUAUAUUGUUGUCUCAACAGAGAGGAUUCCACGAAGCUCAAAGCCUGAGCAGCAGCUCUUAAAACCGAAUUAGUUCUUGUGAUUAUGUUUAAUUUUUUUUUCCAUCAAGCCCUGAAUAUUAUUCCAAAGCAUUUCUUUCAAUUUGAAUUGUCCCUUAUCACCUUAGAUGAUGAUUAUGAAGUGUUUUUUUUUUUAAUCAGAGUAGCACGAUACAGAUGCCGGGGGAACUUU